GCANUCCGCCUGGGGAGUACGACCGCAAGGUUGAAACUCAAAGGAAUUGACGGGGGCCCGCACAAGCGGUGGAGCAUGUGGUUUAAUUCGAAGCAACGCGAAGAACCUUACCAGGUCUUGACAUCCCUCUGACCGCUCUAGAGAUAGAGUUUUCCUUCGGGACAGAGGUGACGGGUGGUGCAUGGUUGUCGUCAGCUCGUGUCGUGAGAUGUUGGGUUNANNNNANNNAANNNNNCGCAACCCCUAUUGUUAGUUGCCAUCAUUCAGUUGGGCACUCUAGCGAGACUGCCGGUAAUAAACCNGAGGAAGGUGGGGAUGACGUCAAAUCAUCAUGCCCCUUAUGACCUGGGCUACACACGUGCUACAAUGGCUGGUACAACGAGUCGCGAGUCGGUGACGGCAAGCUAAUCUCUUAAAGCCAGUCUCAGUUCGGAUUGUAGGCUGCAANU
rnacentral:rRNA from 1 species